rnacentral:lncRNA from 1 species
AGACCCAGCUGUGACAGUCGCUGAAGAUAUAUGCCCGGGGGCGGCAUAUCUUGCAGAUGGCCAGGCCUGUGAGGCCGGCACCACUGCCAAGCUCUAAGACAGUCCUGGCACGAAGAAAGGGGACCGUGUCUGCGACUGCACCAGGGUAAGCCUGCCUCGGUGCCCUGCCCUGCACCCCGAAGUCACCUGUGAGUGAAGGCUGCCGGGUUCUCGAUGGCCCAUUCUGCAAGGUAGAGGGCGGCGUCCCAUGUGACCAGGCCCGUGGUGCCAUGGGAGAUGAUGGCCGUGCUCUCGGAGAGUAUGACCGAGUCUCCCGAGGGCUGCACCAAGAGAGGGUGAGACAGUCAGUCCAGCAAUCAGAAGACAAGUGGCUUAGAAGACAAGUAGCCAUCCACCACAUGGCUGAAUAAACGAUGACAGGACCAAUUCCACUCAGCAAUGAGAAGCAGCUAACUGUUGACAUGCCAACAGCUUGCACGGGCCUCAAGGGUGUCAUGCAGCAUGAAAGACACUCAUCUCAGGCCACACAGGAUUCCAUUCAUCCAACAUUCCUGAGACGAUGGAAUUCUGGCGAUGGAGCACAGGAUGCUUCACAGUCUACGGCAAAGGACAGAACGUUGGUUGCUCGAGAGCCCAUCUUAGGUCUCCUAUGAGCUUCAAGCCAACAUAGCAGAGGGCAAACUCCAGGCUACCUGAUCCCUCAGCAAAGAUAUAGAUGGACACAGCGUUCUGGCCCCAUGCAUCUGAAGUUUGUCUUAAGAUAUAAGCCGUUUCCUAAAAAUGCUUCCACUGCA